AACGCAAAUUGCACUCUCUGGCAACCCGGGGAGUAUGCCUGUUUGAGGGUCAGUGUUAAUAAAAAUCGGGUUCGUUGCAAUUUUUGUGACGUUUCCGGAGUUUGAGUUAUCUUAACUUCGGUUUUAAGAGGCUUAAAAUUGACCUUUUUUUUGUGCAUUUUAGACGUACAUAAAUUUUUUUUUAUUCGUCCAUCCUAAUGCCAAAAUCUAUUAGAUGCGACCAUAUCUUGUGGUUCCGUGUCUAUAAAUUUUUCAUGAUUUGACCUCAAAUCAGGUAGGAACACCCGCUGAACUUAA
rnacentral:misc_RNA from 1 species